UUCUCUCUUGCCUGCUGAGCGCGAGCGCGAGGCUGUACUGGACUGCAGGCGAGCAGAGGUGGGGGAAGACGUCGGCGCCGCGGGGGAAGCAACCGCUCCUGGAGCACCUCGAGGGAGGAGGGGAGCUCGACGGCCUCGAGCUCGCCGGCGGGGUCGGAGGAGAGCGGCGCCUCCGUACUCCGGCGGCGGCGCGGCCGCCUUCGAGGAGAGCGGCGCCUCCGUCGCCCCCAUCGCCGUUGACCUCGCCCCCAUCGUCAAGUCCCUCCGCGGCCUCGACGUCGACUGCCAGGACCUCCCCCGCGCCGGGCUGCGGGGCGUCGACGGGGCGAUGUGGAAGAGGAGGAGGACGGCGCCGCAGUUUUUCUCUUGCAAUCUUUUCUCUCAGUUUGAUGUCAUACGCAGUUGGCUCUACAUUUAGGGAUUCCUUUUUUGUAUGAAGUGAAACUAUCUGUUCCCCGUUUACCAGGUUCAUUCCGAGUGCUCUGAUCAUGAGGUUUCAGUUGAAACUACUAAGAGCCAGAAGCAUCAUCUCAAGAAGUUUGUUGCAGAUCAAGCAUAAUGAUGUGAUGGAGCCUGGCAUGAGAAUUCACCUUCCUGUGUCAGUGGCAGAGGGCGAGAUUAGAGAUGAGAUUGAGAAGGCCUGUCAUCCACAAGGAUUCUGCUAUACUUGUGCUUAACAAGCCCACGAAAGUGCCCAUGAAGGGAAAUUUGCCAGUACAUAACAGCAUGGAUGUGCUUGCAGCAGCAGCUCUGUUAUAUGGAAAUGAAGAAGGUUCAAAAUUGGUUCAUCGGCAGCGGGCGUCCCUCCUCCUCGCUACUGCUGAGCGGGGUAGAGACCGGCGCGGGGGUGGUGGCCGGGGACCUCGCCCUGCGAGUGACCCCCAUCCCGGCGCACAAGAUGGCUCCGCUCCAGGGCCUGCGCGGCGACCGUAACGGCGAGGAGGGCGACGACGGCUAGAGGAGAGAAAAGGAAGAAGGAGACCUGACCAGUGGGCCCAGCCUAUUUAUUAUUAUUAUUUUUGGAUGAAACUGCCACGUAAUCGCCACGUAGUAUGAACACCUAGUCAAAGGAGCCACGUAGGCGCCAAGUCAGCCAAAACCGGUAACAAUACCACCGAGGGAUCUAUUUUGCACCAGUUUUUGGGUUGAGGGAUGAUUUUGUAAUUCGGUGACAAGAUGGAGGACCUCCGGUGUACUUUUUUCCAAGAAAGACCAUAUGUCCUCAAAACCCUUAACAGGCCGGACAAACAGAAGGCCAAUCGAUCU